rnacentral:lncRNA from 1 species
AGUGGGGAGGCCAGAGAAGGAGAGCUGCUCUGUGAGUUGUCAGUGGUACAUUUUUAUCUGUCUGUAAAGCUGGCUGGCCCACAUCCGCAUGGCCAUUUCAGGGCUGCCAGCUUCCCUUGCGUUUCAUCCAUGUUCUGUCCAUGCUGACAGACAUGGCUCCAGGGAACUGUAAAGAAGGAGCGGUCGCAUCGUCAUUUGUCGUCACGUGUGAUGUCACGGAGCGAUUCCAGCUGCAGAGUGAGACUGUGUCUGUCUGCGGCGGGACUUGAAUGCAGUUCUGUGUCUAAGAAGCCUCUCUUCUGCUGCCCCCUUGGUGGCCCCUGCCCUG